GACGAACGCUGGCGGCGUGCCUAAUACAUGCAAGUCGAACGCAGUGGGGACGGGUGAGUAACACGUGGGUAACCUCCCAUCAGAGGGGAUAACACUUGGAAACAGGUGCUAAACCGAUACUGAUGGAUGGACCCGCGGUGCAUUAGCUAGUUGGUGAGGUAACGGCUCACCAAGGCCACGAUGCAUAGCCGACCUGAGAGGGUGAUAGACCACAAUGGGACUGAGACACGGUCCAGAGUCCUACGGGAGGCAGCAGUAGCGAAUCUUCGGCAAUGGUCGACAGUCUUACCGAGCAACGUCGCAUGAGUGAAGCAGGUUUUCGGAUCGUAAAACUCUGUAGUUUGAGAAGCGGUAUCUAACCAGAAAGCCACGGCUAACUACGUGCCAGCAGCCGCGGUAAUUC
rnacentral:rRNA from 1 species